rnacentral:lncRNA from 1 species
AUAUCCAAAUGAGUUUUUCCUAGGUUUCCUUCUAGUAUUUUUAUAGCUUCAAGUCUUAUGUUUAUGUCUUUGAUAUAUUUUUAAUUUAUUUUUGUAUAUGGUGAGAGAUAGGGGAUAGGAGCCGUGUUUGUUUGUUUUUGUUGUUUGAGGGCCCCGUUUUGAUUGCAGGAGAGGCCCGUCUGGAGCUGCCACUGCGAAGACGCGGGCUGCAGCGGGGGAGGCGGGGAGGGGGCUGCGCACUCCACAGAGCCAAGGGAAGCAAGGAACAGGUGGAAGUCCCGCCCCCUUCCGAGUUAGCUGGGCAGGAGCCUCCUGCUUCCCAGGUGAAGCUGCAGCCACCCAGCUGUGUGUGCGGACCCGGGCAUUUCUGUGCUCUUGGGGGCCAGGGACAGGCAGGGUCCCCGCCUCCUGGGGUGCAGCUACAGCCGCCCAAGCCAUGGCUACGGACCCAAGCAUCUCUGCACUCUCCGGGCCCGGGAAGCAGCCCCUUGCCCCAGCAGGCUCAGAAGUGCCUGCUCUCACUGCCUGGCCUCUCCCGGCGCCCUCUCCGAUCUCAGAGCAAAGUUGAGGCCAAGCCCAGAUAUUGAAGCUAUAAAGUUCUCUCUUAGCACUGCUUUGCUGUAUCUCACAGAUUUUGGUAGGCUGCAUUUCCAUGCUGAGGGAAUUCAUCACCACUAGACGGGACCUACAAGCAACACUCAAAGAGAAACUGCCUCAAAAAUGGCAAUAUCUUCUUUGUGCUUAAUGACCCUAACUUCAUGAAGACUUGGCAUAUAGGUUUCAUCCAUGUUGCAGCAUGUGUUAGAAUUUCACUUA